GACGAACGCUGGCGGCGUGCUUAACACAUGCAAGUCGAACGGAAAGGCCCUGCUUUUGUGGGGUGCUCGAGUGGCGAACGGGUGAGUAACACGUGAGUAACCUGCCCUUGACUUUGGGAUAACUUCAGGAAACUGGGGCUAAUACCGGAUAGGAGCUCCUGCUGCAUGGUGGGGGUUGGAAAGUUUCGGCGGUUGGGGAUGGACUCGCGGCUUAUCAUCUUGUUGGUGGGGUAGUGGCUUACCAAGGCUUUGACGGGUAGCCGGCCUGAGAGGGUGACCGGCCACAUUGGGACUGAGAUACGGCCCAGACUCCUACGGGAGGCAGCAGUGGGGAAUAUUGCACAAUGGGCGGAAGCCUGAUGCAGCAACGCCGCGUGCGGGAUGACGGCCUUCGGGUUGUAAACCGCUUUCGCCUGUGACGAAGCGUGAGUGACGGUAAUGGGUAAAGAAGCACCAGCUAACUACGUG
rnacentral:rRNA from 1 species